GCCAUCUUGCCCCAUGUGGGCACUGGAGAAUGGGGCUAGUGUAGAGAAGACCCUAGAAGAGAGAUGUGGAUGGGACAGGGUCCUUGUGGCAUCAUUUGAGAUUCUGAACCUGGAGCUGGGGCUGCUCCCAGAGUUUUUGGAUAUAUGAGCCAAUACAUCCCAUUUUGGCUUAAACCUGCUGUAGCUGUAGGACUGUGACCAAGAGUUCUAUUUCUAUGAGUCCCGCAGGCUUGUUUCCCCACCUCUAAAGGGAGAGAGUAAUCACUCCCGUGGUCUGUUAUGCCUCGUCAUUAUCUGUGUAUAGUAGAGAUAUCUUGGUGUAUAGCACCAAGCACAGGACUUGGACAGAGUUAACCACUCAAUAAACAGCAGCCAUGGCCGUCGUCAGGAGCAUUGUGGAGCACUGGAUGCUGUCGCUGGUAUAAGGCCCAGACAUGACGGUGCAGAGGACAUCAGGACCAGCAGGACAUAAAACCCUCACGGUCACAGGGAGAAAGUCAGAUCCCGGGCACCUGACACAGCCAAGCCCUGCUCUCAACAUGUGAGGAAACUGAGGCCCAGGAGCCUGGAGAUGUGUCUGCUCCAGGUCACACUGUGGGCUGUAGGGGUCCGGAACCCAGACAUGUGGACUGCGCCAGGCUCUAGCCAAUGACUCCUCCAAACCACUGCACCUCCCCAGCCCUCCAGAGUUCUCAUCUGAAAAACGGGGCAUCAGGUCUGAAGGUCUUCAAUGCCCCUUCUGGCUGGGAUAUCAGAGUUUUGGGACCUCUCUCUCCAGGUCCUCAUGAGUCCAGCAGGAGCUCUGGCAGGUCCAGGGUCCCCUCCUUCCCUCUGCUGCCACUGCUCAGCACCCAACCCUUUUUAAAAUUAGCUCUGUGAGUUACAGAAGUAAUCCCUGCUUUCUUGUUAACAUGUUUCAAACAGCACAGAAGGGUUCAAGGUGGAAGCUGAAGGUACUCCCCAGUCUCCCCCACAACCCCCAGCCCACCUCUGCUAGGUCCCACAUGGCCUUUGGGAAACAUAUGCAUUGUUCCCUCUUCCCAUAGAAGCCAGAAGGGAAGUCUGGAAUCAGUGAGCCAGGUACAGCUCUGGGCCCAGGCCCAGAGAUCCCACACUCAUGCCAGCCCCUACCCACGCCAGCCCCCUCCCUGUGCCAGCCACCGCCCCUCCAUCUAUGCAGGCCCCCUACCACCAAGCCCAUCGAUAGGGGCUCAUUAUUCCGUCCUGUCUCCCUAGGAUGGGGCAGAGUGACAGCUGUUCCGUGUUUAAUUACCGAUGGGCUGAGGCUAUGCCAAC
rnacentral:lncRNA from 10 species